AUCCAGCUGAUGAGUCCCAAAUACGACGAAACGCGCGUUCUGGAU
rnacentral:hammerhead_ribozyme from 1 species